GGUGGCGUGGCCGAGUGGUCUAAGGCGCUACGUUUAGGCAUUGUCAAAACCGUAGUUCGAAAGAGCGCGAGUUCGAAUCUCGCCGCCAUCA
rnacentral:tRNA from 1 species